UUCUUUAAUGCUUCAUCAAUCUUACCCCGUAUAGGCAGCAUUCUAAAGUAUAAAUUAUUACUCAUUAAAUUAUUAUUGAUGAAGAGACUAAGACUUGGACUUCUUUACGACCGGAAGCUGCCAAAAGUCCGAUUUCCAUUGGGCCAAUAUGCGUGAAUUGAGGAAUUCGGAGAACUUUUCCUUUCUUCAAAUCGUAACCGAUUUUUCCACUAGCUUUGUAUCCUUCACUGGUACAACCGCUGUUGCUCCUGCAGUCGGACAGAAAUAGCAGUUAAUUUUAUAUUAUAAAUAAAUCAUUAUAUAUA